UCCUUUUUGCCUUUUCUCCCUUCAUCGUUUCGUACUUCUGCCAUUUUCAAAUAUAUUUAAAAUGACAUUUAAACGUUCGUUUAAAUGUUUAAACGCCAAAAUUUUCCCUCCAUCGUUUCAACGUUUCAUCGUGUUAAUAACCUUGGACGGCCGGCGGCGCUCGGCAUGGAGAGGGAGAGGAACCGGCUGGAGGAAGGAGAAGGGGCUGACGGGUGGGGCCCGUCUGGAAGUAAGAGGGAGAGAGGGUGGAGGUGGGAGGCUGGAUUGGGCCGGUGUUGGGCCGACUGGGCCUUGCGGGAAAGAAAGGGAAGAGGGGGAGGGAAGGAGGUGGAUUGGGCUGGAAGAAGAGAGAAAGUUUUGUUUUUUUAACUCAAACACUAUUUGAAUAAAUUCAUUUUAAAUUUAAACCAAAGUUGAAAUUUUGGGUGUUACAUUUAUUUUACUUAAUGAUGUGUAAAAGGUUGAGCAGUUGUAGCAUGCUAUUUAGAAGGGCAUAUAAUGCCAUUUCGAUCCACUUUUCAUUAGACCUGGUGCCUCUGUGCAUAAUGGUUGUGGAUUUAUGUUGUGAAAUGGAGGGUGUAGCUAAUUAAUUCAGGAAAAUUAUGUCCUAUUCCUGCACAUCCGUGUCUCUUGGAAGACCAGGGAAACUGUAUAUAUUCUCUGUAUAGUAAAAUGGUACUGUUAUUACUCUGUAUCUGGUACCAUAAAAUUGUUUGUAUCUAACACACUACAAUGUCCAUGUGUACAUACGAUGACUAGUAAGAUAUAGUUUAGGGUGUUAAAAAUUGAUAACUGCUGGCACCUUAUUGGUACCUUCAUUGCUGGCUCUCCCAACUGUCCAAUUGUUCAUUGCAAUUGACCACAAGUUCUGUCUUUUGUUCAUCUGUGGGCAUAGGACUGGACGCCUUUAUCAGCUCACGAGAAACAAGCGACAUCAGUGGUCGAAGUAUUCCGGAUUGUGGAGGAGACUGUUGAUCAGUUCUUUAAUGCAAGUCUACCUCUGGAUAUUGUCCACUUGCGAAGUCUACUUAUAGGAAUCACUAGCAGUCUUCAAGUCUAUUUGCUUCACAUGGAAAAUCAACAAGUUUCUGGAUCUACCCUACUUCCUAGUGCCCCAGUCUUGACACGUUAUUCAGAAUCGAUGAACCCAUUUGCAAAAAGAAAACUUAUUGAACCUACAGUUCCUGAAGAAAAGGUGGCUACUAAAUUGAAUAAUUUGACGGUGCCUAAAUUAUGUGUGAAGUUCAACACCCUUCAAGUGAGUUUUGAAUUGACCAUCCAUUCCCCAUGCGUUUCCGUAUGCCUUAUAAUGAAUAUUAUUUUGGUAGAAUUCGAAUCACCAAAACACGUGCUAAGAGUUCAGGACAUGGGCCUGGAAAACCUUUCAUAGAAGUCUGUUAUGCUCAGCUUUUGCUAUUUAGCUAAUUCCGCUAUAUCUAUACUGGUACUUGACAUUCAUCGAGUUGCUUUUAUAUCUGCACAUAAAUGAUUUAGGUUUUAUUUUACUAAAAAACUGCAAAUGGGGUAAGUUGAUUGCUCGAGUUUUCUUAUGAAAAAACAGGCAAAUUAUCAAUGAAACCAUUUAGGAGUGUGAAUGACCAUGGGAAUAUACUUAUGUGGUUGCAGCUUAAUGUUCGAAAAAUGUUCGGCUAAAUCAUGUCCUUUAAAUAGACAUGGCUGUUUGAAAAGUGAAAACCAUGAGUGUUAGAGUAUAUUAGGGAUAUCUCUAUAUUAGGUAAAUUAGGAUUAUAUCCGUAUCCUACCAUAUAUGUAGGAGAGGCUUCUUGCCCUCCAAGUCAUGUACCCCUAUAUAUUCAGCCCCAAGGCUCAGGCUAAUACAAUCAUCAAUUACACCAGUCCUAUUAUUCUAUAUGGUAUCACGAGUUUGAGUUCUAACCCUAGACCUGAAACCCUAGCUUUCCGUUGCUCACGCCGCUAGCGCCCCUCCUCUCCCAUCGCCGGCGCUCCUGACCCCCAACGACACGCCUCCAGCGCACCCCCACGACAGCCUCCUAGCGCGCUCCCGGGAAGGUCGCCCAUUAUUGGAGAGAAUAAUUGCCUUGUAUUCCUCCAAACCCUAGAAGGGUGGGAUAUAUAGAUCCUA